AAGAUACAACAAUAAUUUAUAUUGGGAGAACUGUCAACUCCUUCUUGGUACAAGUAUUCCAUGAAAAGCAUUGUACAAAUUCUGUUUUGGAGGGUAGCAGCUAAUCUAAACCUUAAUUCUGUUACAUGUAAGCACGCUUGUCAACUGUCAGCACCUAAUAACUUGUAUUUUUUUAUUUUAUGAGACCCAAAUGCUCAUUUGGACUUCCUAAAAAUGGCUAGUGGUUAAAUGGUUCACACUUGUACGCUUGUUUGAAAACGAUUAUUUUCUCCUAAUAUCAACGUACAUAAAUAAAUGAGUUAGUCUUAAAAGAGAAGUUGUGCCGUUUUGAAAUAGUUUAACAAGAUGACAAUAAAUUUUCGAUCACAAUUAAAACUUGCGUUUCCAAUAUUGUUGUGGUUGUAUUUAACACGUGUUUCAUUUGCUAUUUUGGAUGAAAACAUAAACACACAAGUGGAUUUAAAUGAACCUUGCCAACUAAGGACUCCAAUGGCGUUAAGUUCUGCAACAAAAUGCAAAAUCGGCCUCAGGUUGUUUGAUAAUCUUUGUAGAAAGAUAAAAAAAAAAAAUUGAAUAAAUAUUGUUGCAAUUUUGUACUCUC